UCAACCUCAAGACAUCUUUCGGAUCUCUCCUGAGAGGCAGCCAGAACACCAUACUGAUUCAGGAAUACAGUUUGCCCCUCGGGUCUCUUGUAAUUGAUGUCUGCAGAAUGGGACAAGCAAGAUCGCAUCAGCAUUCUUGCCCAGCCAAAAGUCAACCACCAGAUCCUCUUUUGCAGGCCAACGAUCUACUGGGUAGAUAAAAUACCUAAAGAACUUCCAAGAGUAACUGUUCCAGCCUUAACUUCCAGACAAGAAGAACUGUCACAAUCCAAGAAGGUUAAUGCCGACUUCAGAGGUGACAGACCCACAGCUGUGUGGCCCAUCUCACGGGCAGCACUCAACGCCGAAGCAUCAUCCAGGGUGAAGGAACUGGCACAACCCCGGCCUUUUAUAGAUGACUGGGCAUUAAGCCGCCCCCGUUUCCCUUUGGUGAGCAAAGGAGCACUGAAUGCCACUCCCUCACAACGGGUAAUAGCACUAGCUACACCAAGGAGCCUGCCGGUAUCACCUUUAAAGAAGCCACCUAAAAAAACACCCCGUGGCCCUAUUGCUAAUGUUGCCAAGUUUGAGGAACUCUCCAAACCACGGAUCUACAUGUAUGAAAGCCACAAUCCCUACAAAGUUUCCAAGGCAGCUCUCCAGUAUGUUCCUAGUUCUCGCAUUUUGGAAAUCAGCCGUCCUGUGAGAAUGAGAGCCAAAGCAGCCCACAUUACAUAGAAGACACUCUUUCUUUGUUUUGGCCCAGUAACAAAUCUGAUUAAAGGAUGUUUUCUGCUCCCCUCAGAUCUGUAAAUUGAGUGAAUUCUUUUUCCGUCUCCUGCUUAGUUGUGUGAUAUCUUCAGUCUAGCACAACUCUGUAUUAGUCUAGCUUUUAUUAUCUAUCUUGCAGAACACAAACAUGUGACAAAGAAUGUACCCGAUUUUUUUCCAACUUUAACUGUUAUAUACACAGGGGUACAUGAUACUCUUCAGCCUCAAUACAACUCUUGAAUGAUACUCUAGAACCUGCUUAUGUAAGAGCCAAACCAGAUAAUAAACUAUAUUGUUAGAAUCA
rnacentral:lncRNA from 1 species